rnacentral:rRNA from 1 species
AAAUUGAAGAGUUUGAUCAUGGCUCAGAUUGAACGCUGGCGGCAGGCCUAACACAUGCAAGUCGAACGGUAGCACAGAGAGCUUGCUCUCGGGUGACGAGUGGCGGACGGGUGAGUAAUGUCUGGGAAACUGCCUGAUGGAGGGGGAUAACUACUGGAAACGGUAGCUAAU